rnacentral:rRNA from 1 species
UACAGAGGGUGCAAGCGUUAAUCGGAAUUACUGGGCGUAAAGCGUGCGUAGACGGUUAUCUAAGUCAGGUGUGAAAGCCCAGGGCUCAACCUUGGAAUUGCAUUUGAGACUGAAUAGCUAGGGUGCGGAAGAGGGAAGCGGAAUUUCCGGUGUAGCGGUGAAAUGCGUAGAUAUCGGAAGGAACACCAGUGGCGAAAGCGGCUUCCUGGUCCAGCACCGACGUUCAGGCACGAAAGCGUGGGGAGCAAACAGG